rnacentral:rRNA from 1 species
GAUGAACGCUGACAGAAUGCUUAACACAUGCAAGUCUACUUGAUUCUACUUCGGUAGUUGAUGGUGGCGGACGGGUGAGUAACGCGUAAAGAAUCUGCCCUUUAGUUUGGGAUAACCUUUGGAAACGAAGGCUAAUACCGGAUAUUAUGGAGACGUCGCAUGGCGACUCCAUGAAAGCUAUAUGCGCUAGAGGACGACUUUGCGUCCCAUUAGUUAGUAGGUGAGGUAAUGGCGCGCCAAGACCGCGAUGGGUAGCCGGCCUGAGAGGGUGAUCGGCUACAAGGGAACUGAGACACGGUCCUUACUCCUACGGGAGGCAGCAGUGGGGAAUUUUGGACAAUGGGCGCAAGCCUGAUCCAGCCAUGCCGCGUGCAGGAUGAAGGCCUUCGGGUUGUAAACUGCUUUUGUACGGAACGAAAAGGCUCUGGUUAAUACCUGGGGUCCAUGACGGUACCGUAAGAAUAAGCACCGGCUAACUACGUGCCAGCCGCCGCUGUAAUAC